GUCUGGAGAGACAGCACAGGAGGGGUUGCCGUGGCUGGGACGGAAGAAAUAGAGCAGGCUGACUGGGAACCCGUUCCAGGCGGUCCUCAGGGAGAAGUGGGGCAGGUGGAAGAAGAGCCUGUUAUAUCCUUCUUUUCAGCUUCAUACAGGUUUCAUCAUCUGAAAAUUAAACUGACAAGGGUAUGUUAUGGAAUCGAUGCUAAAUGCCAAGUGAUCAAUAUCUACAAAUACUCAAAUUAUCUAUCUCUGCAGUCCCCGGAUCCACCAUCCAGAACUUCUGCCUAAAUCAGACUCAACAACAGAGAGAUGGGAGAAAUUUAAAACUCAAGUAUCUAAGAUCAACAGGGAAGACAGGACCUGGAUCAAGGAGCACCUGGCUUACUCUACAAGCGACUCAGCCACAUCACUGCUGGGGUAGAGGGGCCUGCACCAGCCCAGCGUCUGAACUGGCUUCUGGCAACUGAAGGACCCCUAGUCCUCUUAAGUACUUGCUAGACAGAAUUUAAUUCCCAAAAAGCCAAAUUUCUUAUAAAAUACCAGCUCCCAUCAGUACCUCGUGUUUUCAUCGUAAAACUUGACUUUUCUCAUGACAGACGUAUUGUACCAAUCACUGAAGACAAUGAGUGAAAGGCCAUUGUGCACAUCCCUCCGCAGCUUGGCGACCUCCUCAGGGAAGUACUCUUCCUCGCUGUCUACCAUGAGCAAAGUUCCUGAGGGACAGAAUGCUGGCAGUGAGUCUGCGCCUCUGAACCAUAGGACUCAGGUCAGAAAAACACUAUUUCGCUGGUAUCCAUGUCUCAAGCUCCAGCUUCUAGUGUUUUGUGUGGCCCCCCGUACCCUUCAGGAAGGGGGUGAAAAAGAAAGGACCAGGGUCCAAAACACAGACCCCUGCUAAUGACACCAGCCUCUUUCGUGAGUGACACCCAGGUACACAGAUGUCACUCACUGGAGAAAAAGCAAAAUGCAGCACUAGUUUCUUUUCUUUAAAGUAAAUAAAUAAAAAUGUACAAAUA